AGCAAAGAUAAAAACGCAACGUGCGAAUUUCCGCACCAGAGCCGGUAGGUAGCCCGGCCGUCCCGUCAGCUGACGGGGUAAGUAACCUGCCCCUCCGGGUUGUCCGUUCUUUGCUCAU
rnacentral:ncRNA from 1 species